GCGGAAGUGGCGGAAUUGGCAGACGCGCUAGGUUCAGGUCCUAGUGACCCUUACGGGUCGUGGAGGUUCGAGUCCUCUUUUCCGCACCA
rnacentral:tRNA from 1 species